CCUACGGGCGGCUGCAGUGGGGAAUAUUGCACAAUGGGCGAAAGCCUGAUGCAGCGACGCCGCGUGAGGGAUGACGGCCUUCGGGUUGUAAACCUCUUUCGACAGGGACGAAGCGCAAGUGACGGUACCUGUAGAAGAAGCACCGGCCAACUACGUGCCAGCAGCCGCGGUAAUACGUAGGGUGCGAGCGUUGUCCGGAAUUACUGGGCGUAAAGAGCUUGUAGGCGGUUCGUCGCGUCGUUCGUGAAAACUUGGGGCUCAACCCCAAGCUUGCGGGCGAUACGGGCGGACUAGAGUACUUCAGGGGAGACUGGAAUUCCUGGUGUAGCGGUGAAAUGCGCAGAUAUCAGGAGGAACACCGGUGGCGAAGGCGGGUCUCUGGGAAGUAACUGACGCUGAGAAGCGAAAGCGUGGGUAGCGAACAGGAUUAGAUACCCUAGUAGUC
rnacentral:rRNA from 1 species